rnacentral:rRNA from 1 species
AGUUUGAUCCUGGCUCAGGAUGAACGCUAGCUACAGGCUUAACACAUGCAAGUCGAGGGGCAGCAUGGUCUUAGCUUGCUAAGGCCGAUGGCGACCGGCGCACGGGUGAGUAACACGUAUCCAACCUGCCGUCUACUCUUGGACAGCCUUCUGAAAGGAAGAUUAAUACAAGAUGGCAUCAUGAGUUCACAUGUUCACAUGAUUAAAGGUAUUCCGGUAGACGAUGGGGAUGCGUUCCAUUAGAUAGUAGGCGGGGUAACGGCCCACCUAGUCUUCGAUGGAUAGGGGUUCUGAGAGGAAGGUCCCCCACAUUGGAACUGAGACACGGUCCAAACUCCUACGGGAGGCAGCAGUGAGGAAUAUUGGUCAAUGGGCGCAGGCCUGAACCAGCCAAGUAGCGUGAAGGAUGACUGCCCUAUGGGUUGUAAACUUCUUUUAUAAAGGAAUAAAGUCGGGUAUGUAUACCCGUUUGCAUGUACUUUAUGAAUAAGGAUCGGCUAACUCCGUGCCAGCAGCCGCGGUAAUACGGAGGAUCCGAGCGUUAUCCGGAUUUAUUGGGUUUAAAGGGAGCGUAGAUGGAUGUUUAAGUCAGUUGUGAAAGUUUGCGGCUCAACCGUAAAAUUGCAGUUGAUACUGGAUAUCUUGAGUGCAGUUGAGGCAGGCGGAAUUCGUGGUGUAGCGGUGAAAUGCUUAGAUAUCACGAAGAACUCCGAUUGCGAAGGCAGCCUGCUAAGCUGCAACUGACAUUGAGGCUCGAAAGUGUGGGUAUCAAACAGGAUUAGAUACCCUGGUAGUCCACACGGUAAACGAUGAAUACUCGCUGUUUGCGAUAUACUGCAAGCGGCCAAGCGAAAGCGUUAAGUAUUCCACCUGGGGAGUACGCCGGCAACGGUGAAACUCAAAGGAAUUGACGGGGGCCCGCACAAGCGGAGGGACAUGUGGUUUAAUUCGAUGAUACGCGAGGAACCUUACCCGGGCUUAAAUUGCAGAUGAAUUACGGUGAAAGCCGUAAGCCGCAAGGCAUCUGUGAAGGUGCUGCAUGGUUGUCGUCAGCUCGUGCCGUGAGGUGUCGGCUUAAGUGCCAUAACGAGCGCAACCCUUGUUGUCAGUUACUAACAGGUUCCGCUGAGGACUCUGACAAGACUGCCAUCGUAAGAUGUGAGGAAGGUGG